rnacentral:tRNA from 1 species
CACGCUCUAUAGGAUUUGAACCUACGACAUCGGGUUUUGGAGACCCGCGUUCUACCGAACUGAACUAAGAGCGU